rnacentral:rRNA from 1 species
UACGGAGGGUGCAAGUGUUAUCCGGAUUCACUGGGUUUAAAGGGUGCGUAGGCGGGCAGGUAAGUCAGUGGUGAAAUCUCCGAGCUUAACUCGGAAACUGCCAUUGAUACUAUUUGUCUUGAAUAUUGUGGAGGUAAGCGGAAUAUGUCAUGUAGCGGUGAAAUGCUUAGAUAUGACAUAGAACACCAAUUGCGAAGGCAGCUUACUACACAAUGAUUGACGCUGAGGCACGAAAGCGUGGGGAUCAAACAGG